rnacentral:rRNA from 1 species
UAUUGGACAAUGGGGGGAACCCUGAUCCAGCGACGCCGCGGGAGUGAAGAAGUAUCUCGGUCUGUAAAGCUCUAUCAGCAGGGAAGAANAAAUGACGGUACCUGAGUAAGAAGCCCCGGCUAACUACUUGCCAGCAGCCGCGGUAAUACGUAGGGGGCAAGCGUUAUCCGGAAUUACUGGGUGUAAAGGGAGCGUAGACGGUGAUGUAAGUCUGGAGUGAAAGGCGGGGGCCCGACCCCGGGACUGCAUUGGAAACUGCCAGGCUGGAGUGUCGGAGGGGCAGGCGGAAUUCCUAGUGUAGCGGUGAAAUGCGUAGAUAUUAGGAGGAACACCGGUGGCGAAGGCGGCCUGCUGGACGACAACUGACGCUGAGGCUCGAAAGCGUGGGGAGCAAACAGG